rnacentral:rRNA from 1 species
CGAACGCUGGCGGCGUGCUUAACACAUGCAAGUCGAACGGAAAGGCCCUGCUUUUGUGGGGUGCUCGAGUGGCGAACGGGUUAGUAACACGUGAGUAACCUGCCCUUGACUUUGGGAUAACUUCAGGAAACUGGGGCUAAUACCGGAUAGGAGCUCCUGCUGCAUGGUGGGGGUUGGAAAGUUUCGGCGGUUGGGGAUGGACUCGCGGCUUAUCAGCUUGUUGGUGGGGUAGUGGCUUACCAAGGCUUUGACGGGUAGCCGGCCUGAGAGGGUGACCGGCCACAUUGGGACUGAGAUACGGCCCAGACUCCUACGGGAGGCAGCAGUGGGGAAUAUUGCACAAUGGGCGGAAGCCUGAUGCAGCAACGCCGCGUGCGGGAUGACGGCCUUCGGGUUGUAAACCGCUUUCGCCUGUGACGAAGCGUGAGUGACGGUAAUGGGUAAAGAAGCACCGGCUAACUACGUG